GUUGCAAGGGACUAGCAGGUCCCUCGUGUGCGUGCCAAAGCUGGAUGGGCCUGGUGCAAUGAGUACAUACAUGCUCGAGGUGGAGUCCUCCGCAUCGGACGGGCGGGAUCUCAUAUUCUCUGUUUUUUGAGGGAUCUGUGGAGGCCAGGGGCUGCGCGCCUGCGACGAUCUGCGGACGGUACUAAGCCUGGUGUCGUUCCUUUGUCUCCACCGGUGCCACUUCCCUCGCCUUGUCAUAUUCACCGACCUUGGCAGGCUAUGAGCAGCAUGUACCACCAGGUCCUUCUCCCACUAUUGCUUUUGAUUUUUGCAUCCCUUUCUUUUCUGACAUUCCAAGACGUUCUUAUGGUUUCUGGACAUGCAGGUAGUACAUGUUCUAUGGAGUCUUCAUCGGUACAGACAGGGUGUCGUUAAGGAGCAUGGUUCGUGGUGAGAUGGUUGCAAAAAUGGUCUCUCCCUCUAAUGACUUCAGUGGGUACGGCCGGAUCUGCGGCAACAAAGGCACGGGGAUGAACCCUGCUUGAUGCAUGACGAGCGCCACCAGUGCUUGAGGAGUUGGAGAUGGACGAGUAGCCUAGUGUUCCGUCCGAUGUUUGUAAUUUCAAGUUUUUAGGGAUCCUUUUUGACAUGCUAUAUCCAACCAUCCGUUGGCAAGUCUACGCAGUAGCAUACAGUUGGAUUAGCUAUCGGACGAGUGUGUUCAGACGAGUUUGAUCUUUUUUUCUUCUGUACAUGUGUAUUUCCCUGAGAUUUUAUGUAAUGAUUAUUUAUUUAAUAAAUAAAGAUAUAUUUUUCUGACAAAAC
rnacentral:lncRNA from 1 species